rnacentral:rRNA from 1 species
CCUACGGGAGGCAGCAGUGAGGAAUAUUGGUCAAUGGGCGGGAGCCUGAACCAGCCAAGUCGCGUGAGGGAUGACGGCCCUAUGGGUUGUACACCUCUUUUGGCGGGGAACAAAGUGCCGCUCGUGUGCGGUUUGGUGAGUACCCGGAGAGAAAGCAUCGGCCAACUCCGUGCCCGUAGCCGCGGUAAGACGGAGGAUGCGAGCGUUAUCCGGGUUUAUGGGGUGUAAAGGGUGCGUGGGCGGACGCUUAAGUAAGCGGGAAACUUGCGGGGCUCAACCUCGUCGAGCCGUUGAAACUGGGUGCCUUGAGUGGGCGAGAAGUACGCGGAAUGCGUGGUGUAGCGGUGAAAUGCAUAGAUAUCACGAAGAACUCCGAUUGCGAAGGCAGCGGACCGGCGCCCAACUGACGCUGAAGCACGAAGGCGUGGGUAUCGAACAGGAUUAGAUACCCUUGUAGUC